rnacentral:misc_RNA from 1 species
CAGAAGCUAACUUCUCGCCAUCCAGCAUAUACCUUUCCACAAUAAAAUCAGAACUCAAAGAUCAGUUACAAUCAAGUCUAACAGCACACAGGUCUUGGCAGGAAGCGCUCAUCAGCAUGGCGUGGAAGGUAUUGUUUUAACUUUUGUGUCCUUAUAUCCCAAACCUGGAAAAUUAAAGAAAAUUUAACGUUAGAAACAGAGAGAUCAUCACACUUGGAACUAAAGGUGCAUAAAUGAUAUCCUAGUGAGAAGGUUUUUCUAUUGCAUUCAAUGACAUUCUUACAACUUUAGAAAAACAUGAUCACGUAAUUCACUAAAAUUAAAUAGGAAACUGAAGAAAGAAAACUUUGAAACAGAAUGCCAUUUAUCACCCAAUGAUCCUGUCGGAAAACUGAAUAACUCAAUAAAGGGCUAACGGUAAUUACAGUAUUCCUUCAGUGUGGAGUCUUUGCUUCCACUUGAAACAAGCCUAUUGUCAUCUGACCAGCUGUGGAACAUCAAGCAACAUUAAGAUUUAUGCUAUAAAGUAUAGGUACAGAAAAACAAAGACCAUCAGAACAACCCAAACCUGAUUUGCUAAACAGGCCCAACAUGUCUCCGAAAAGCAGCAACGAAUUUUCCAGUAACACCAUC